rnacentral:lncRNA from 1 species
CAUGUAUGGGCCUUUUUCAAAAAAAUGUGGAUUUUCUUGUACAAUCAAUAUUUCUAAAAAAGUGUAAAUAUUUUUAUCCAAUUUUUAGAUACACAAUUUAGUUUUUGGUGUGUGUAACAAGUUCCAGCAAAUUCAAUAUGACAUUUAGCUACAGAAAUUGCUUCCAGUGGGUUUCAAAGGGUCCAAAACCCCCAAAAUUGUUUGUACGAAAU